ensembl:rRNA 5S_rRNA 5S ribosomal RNA
GUCUACAGCCGUACCAUCCUGAAUGUGCCCCAUCUUAGCUGAUCUAGGAAGCUAGGCAGGGCCUGGCCUGUUUAGCACUUGGAUGGGGGAAAUGAAGGGGAUUAUGUGGCCC